UUCCAGACUCCUACGGGAGGCAGCAGUGGGGGAUAUUGCACAAUGGGGGGAACCCUGAUGCAGCGACGCCGCGUGGGUGAAGAAGCGCCUCGGCGCGUAAAGCCCUGUCAGCAGGGAAGAAAAUGACGGUACCUGAAGAAGAAGCCCCGGCUAACUACGUACCAGCAGCCGCGGUAAUACGUAGGGGGCAAGCGUUAUCCGGAUUUACUGGGUGUAAAGGGAGCGUAGACGGCGGCGCAAGUCCGGAGUGAAAGCCCACGGCCCAACCGUGGGACUGCUCUGGAAACUGUGCGGCUUGAGUGUGGGAGGGGCAGGCGGAAUUCCUAGUGUAGCGGUGAAAUGCGUAGAUAUCAGGAGGAACACCGGUGGCGAAGGCGGCCUGCUGGACUGCGACUGACGUUGAGGCCCGAAAGCGUGGGGAGCAAACAGGAUUAGAUACCCCCGUAC
rnacentral:rRNA from 1 species